AUACGUAGGUGACAAGCGUUAUCCGGAUUUACUGGGCGUAAAGGGCGUGUAGGCGGUCUUGCAAGUCAGAAGUGAAAUUCCUGAGCUCAACUCGGGCGCUGCUUCUGAAACUGCAGGACUUGAGUGCUGGAGGGGAUAGCGGAAUUCCUAGUGGAGCGGUAAAAUGCGCAGAUAUUAGGAAGAACACCGGUGGCGAAGGCGGCUAUCUGGACAGUAACUGACGCUGAGGCGCGAAAGCGUGGGGAGCAAACAGGAUUAGAUACCCUGGUAGUCCACGCUGUAAACGAUGAUGACUAGGUGUGGGGGGACUGAACCCUUCCGUGCCGCAGUUAACACAAUAAGUCAUCCACCUGGGGAGUACGGCCGCAAGGUUGAAACUUAAAGGAAUUGACGGGG
rnacentral:rRNA from 1 species